CCAGCAGCCGCGGUAAUUCCAGCUCCAAUAGCGUAUACUAAAGUUGUUGCAGUUAAAAAGCUCGUAGUUGAAUUUCUGAUUAUGAAAAUAAGUCCAUUCUUUAUUGAAUGUGUACUAUUAUUUUAUAUAAUCAUCCUUGAAAAGAUUAUUAUGGAUAUUCAUUUAUCUAUUAUAAGAUUUUCAUCAUUUACUGUGAGCAAAAUAGAGUGUUCAAAGCAGGCUUAGGCCGUUGAAUACAUUAGCAUGGAAUAAUAAGAUAGGACCUUGGUCUAUUUUGUUGGUUUAUUUAUCAAGGUAAUGAUUAAUAGGGAUAGUUGGGGGUAUUCGUAUUCAAUUGUCAGAGGUGAAAUUCUUGGAUUUAUGGAAGACGAACUACUGCGAAAGCAUUUACCAAGGAUGUUUUCA
rnacentral:rRNA from 1 species